UACGUAGGUGGCAAGCGUUGUCCGGAAUUAUUGGGCGUAAAGCGCGCGUAGGUGGUUUCUUAAGUCUGAUGUGAAAGCCCACGGCUCAACCGUGGAGGGUCAUUGGAAACUGGGGAACUUGAGUGCAGAAGAGGAAAGUGGAAUUCCAAGUGUAGCGGUGAAAUGCGUAGAGAUUUGGAGGAACACCAGUGGCGAAGGCGGGUCUCUGGGCAUCUCCUGACGCUGAGGCGCGAAAGCGUGGGGAGCAAACGGG
rnacentral:rRNA from 1 species